CUGAGCCGUGCGGAGUCCGGCCGUGCUGCGCCGAGCCGAGCUGAGCCGAGUCGAGCCGAGUCUUGCCGUGCCGUUCUGGGUCUGGCAGUGCCGAGCUGAGCCGAGCCGUGCCGUGCCGGAUCUGGCCAGGCCGUGCCGGGUCCGGCCGUGCCGGGCCGUGCCGAGCCGUGCAGAGCCGUGCCAGCAUGCUGCGGUACCUGCUGAAGACGCUGCUGCAGAUGAACCUGUUCGCGGACUCGCUGGCGGCCGAGAUGUCCAACUCCUCCGAGCUGCUGCUCGGCCUCAACGGCAGCAUCACAGCGCUCGACCUCCGCAACCUCACCGCCGGCAACGGGUCCCACCCACAGCUGGAGGACUCGGCACCCCGCAUCGUGGAGCACCCCUCGGACCUGCUGGUGUCCAAGGGUGAGCCGGCCACGCUGAGCUGCAAAGCGGAGGGACGCCCCCCGCCUGCCGUCGAGUGGUACAAGGACGGUGAGCGGGUGGAGACGGACCGUGAAGACCCCCGCUCCCACCGCACACUGCUGCCCGGCGGCUCCCUCUUCUUCCUCCGCAUCAUUCACGGCCGCCGUGGCAAACCUGAUGAGGGCGUCUAUGUCUGUGUGGCCAGGAACUACCUGGGUGAAGCCACCAGCAGGAAUGCCUCGCUGGAAGUGGCUGUGCUGCGGGAUGAUUUCCGGCAGCCCCCCGGGGAUGUGGUGGUGGCAGCGGGUGAGCCGGCCGUCCUUGAGUGCGUUCCACCCCGUGGCCACCCCGAGCCCACUGUCUCAUGGAAGAAGAACGGUGCCCAGCUCAACGACAAGGACGAGCGUAUCACGAUCCGUGGUGGGAAGCUGAUGAUGGCCACCACACGCAAGAGCGAUGCUGGCAUCUACGUCUGCGUGGCCACCAACAUGGUGGGGGAGCGGGACAGCGAGCCAGCUGAGCUGGUGGUCUUCGAACGCCCCGCGUUCAGCAAGCGGCCACUAAACCAAGCGGUCCUGGUGGACGAGACGGCCGAGUUCCCCUGUGAGGUGCUGGGGGACCCCCAGCCCACAGCCCGCUGGCGCAAGGAGGACGGUGAGCUGCCACUGGGAAGAUGGGAGCUGCUGGCUGACAACACCCUGAGGAUCAGCCAGGUGCAUGUGGAAGAUGAGGGCACCUACACCUGUGUGGCCGAGAACAGCGUGGGCAAGUCGGAGGCCUCAGGCACCCUCAUCGUGCGUGUGCCCCCCCAGCUUGUCACCUGGCCCCAUGACCAGAGUGUCCCCCCUGGCCGCAGCGUGACCUUCCAGUGUGAGACCACGGGCAAUCCGCCCCCGGCCGUAUUUUGGCAGAAGGAAGGCAGCCAGACGCUGCUGUUCCCGGGCCAGCCCCCCCAGAUGGCCAGCCGCUUUUCGGUAGCCCCCGGUGGUGCCAUGACCAUCACCGCCGUCCAGCCGACCGACGCAGGCUAUUACCUGUGCCAGGCCAUCAGUGUGGCCGGCAGCGUCCUGGCCAAGGCACUGCUGGAGGUGGAGGCGGCACCCACCGAGCAUGGGCCACCUGUCAUCCACUGGGGCCCCGCCAACCGCACAGUGCUGCCAGUGGGGGCCACAGUGUGGCUGCCCUGCUGGGUGGCCGGUGACCCCCAGCCCCAUGUGGGGUGGCUGAAGGACGGCCGGGCCAUGCCGGGCCCCGAGACCCGCGCCAGCCUGCUGGAGAAUGGCACCCUGCAGAUCAGCAGCCUGCGGGUGACAGACUCGGGGCAGUAUGAGUGUGUGGCCACCAGCUCGAUGGGUGAGAUGCGCUGGAGUGGGACCCUGCAGGUGCAAGCGCCUCUCCCCACAGGUGAUGGAUCUGGACUUUCCCCACCACCCCAGGAGCCUGCCAACCGCCCCCCGCCACCCACCACCCCUGUGGUCACCAACAUCACCAAAAGCAGUGUCACCCUGAGCUGGAAAGGAAAUGAGCAAAGCGACGGCACUACUGUCACCUAUGUUGUGGAAGCUUUCAGCGAGGCAGCAGGUGGCCCGUGGCAGACAGUGGCAGCCAACGUGGAGGGCGAGACACACACAGUGAGCGGCCUUGUCCCUGACACCAUCUACCUCUUCCUGGUGCGGGCAGUCAGCGCCCAUGGGCUCAGCGACCCCAGCGGAGUCUCGGAGCCCAUCCGCACCCAAGAUGCCAGCCCCACGCAGCCAGGCCUGAACCCUCAGCAGGUGCCAACGGAGCUGGCGCAAGUGGCCGUGCACCUACAGGAGCCAGUGGUGCUGCCACCAGGUGCCGUGCGCCUCUCCUGGACCGUGGAGCCCCCAUCACCCUUUGUGCAGGGCUACCAGGUGCUGUACCGGCGGCGUGGUGGGCGCUGGGAGGCACGGGACGUGCGGGCACCGGGUGAGCGGGGUGCCCUGCUCACUGGGCUGCGCCGCGGCCAGGACUACGAGGUGAAGGUGCGGCCCUACUUCCACCAUCUCCACGGUCCCGACAGUGCUGUGCGUGCCCUGCGCACCCCCGAGGCGGCCCCCAGUGCACCACCACGGGCCGUCAGUGUGGUGGGGAACGGCACCAGCGUCCGCAUCUCGUGGCAGCCGCCACCUCUGGCUGAGCAGAAUGGUGUAAUUCGUGAUUACCGGAUCUGGUGCCUGGGCAACGAGAGCCGAUUCCACAUCAACCAGAGCGUGGAGGGGACGGUGCUGGCGACGGUGCUGCAGGGGCUAGUGCCCGGUGUCCCCUAUCGCGCCGAGGUGGCAGCGGCCACCAGCGCGGGUGUGGGUGCUCGCAGUGCACCUGUCCCCAUCCGUAUUGCACCUCCUGUGGAGCGGGAAGCAGGGCCGGUAGGCUGGGCCGGUGUGGCUGAGCACUUGGCGGAGAUGGCGCGGCGGCCAGCCUUCAUCGCUGGCAUUGGCGGUGCCUGCUGGCUCGUCCUCGCUGGCUUUGGCGCCUGGCUCUACGGCCGCCGCCGAAGGAGGAAGGAACUGAGCCACUUCACGGGUACGGGCUCAGCCCUGGGCGCCCCAGAUCCACUUGUCCCCAGCACCCACACGGGGUUCCUCUCCUUGCAGCCUCCUUCGCCUACACACCCACGGGUGCACCCAUGGGUGCUGCAGGGACCUGCCGCGGCCCCACUGCACCCUCAGCCCAGCCUCCAUCUCUCUCUGCGCUCACCUUUCUGCACACCCCAGCUCCAGCACGUGGCAGCCCCAGGUAACAGCACGCCCCCCUGGGACCUGCAGCCCACCCGGGGAUGCCCCCUCAGCCUGUGUCCUCACAGGGCUGCUGUUGGCGGUCAUCCGUGGCUGGUGGACGCAUGGUGUGGCGGUGGCACCAGCAGCCUGGACACCGCUGAGAGAUACUACAACGAGGCCGGCAUCUCCCGCUACAUCGCCCAGACGGAGCCGUUCGGGCCGGGGGCCGCCGAGGGACCCAUCUACAGCAGCAUCGAGGCGGGUGGCGAGGAGCUGCGCACCUUCCACCGCCCCUGCUCGCAGCACGGCCUCGAGCCGCCGGCCACCCUGUACGCCCACCUGGCCCCCGGCCGCCCCGAGCACGGGAAAAACCUGGGGAAAGCGGUGCAAACACCCAUGUUGAGCUGGACGGAGCUGCUGCCCCCGCCACCCUCGGCCAGCGAGCUCAGCCAGUAUGCUGAAGAGGAGGAGGUGAAGGAGGAGGAAGAGGAGGAAGAGGAGGUGGAGGAAGAAGAGGAGGGCAGCUUGGGGCUGGAGGACCGGUGUCCCCUCGGGGAGGACGUCCAUCAGCCCGCCGCCUCCUCACCUGCCAUCCCCUCCGGCUGCUGGUCCCCUGCCAUGCUGGCACCCGCACCCCGCGAGGACGUCUGCAGCCCCCGCCCGCCCCGGUAGGAGAUGCCGCUUGCUCAGCCUGCCAGGCCUGCCUCACCCGGUGUCCUGUCGUGACACAGCACGAUGGGGACACAACGCCGCGGUCCGGGCGUAACGCUGAGGUCCAGACAGGGCAGCACCACCCAGCUGUGCUGCCACGGUGCAAGCUGGCUGGGGCUUUGCCAUCCAGCUGUGCUGCCAGGCCACCAGCACGGGGGGGGGCCACUCUGCUCCCCGCACUUCCCCACCCCUUUCAGGCAGCAGUGGUGACCCCCAGCCCCACAUCAUCCCCCCCUCUUUCCCAGGAGGCCCCCCCACGGCGCAGGACCGCCACCAAGCCCCUCGCUGAGCCCCCGCAGCCCAGACACAGGCGAGGGCCGUGUGCCCCGAGCCCACCGCCCCCACGGCACAGGGAAAACCCGCUCAGAGACCAUGAAAAGUCGCCCAAAGCC